GGCAGUAUUAAAAGUCAGCCUCCAGGGGCUUCCCUGGUGGCUCAGCGGUGAAGAAUCUGCGUGCCAGUGCAGGGACAUAGGUUUGAUCCCUGAUCUGGGAAGAUCCCACAUGCCUUGAAGCUAGCCUUGUGCUACAACUAUCGAGCCCGUGUUCUAGAGCGCAGGAGCCACAACUACCGAAGCCCCUUGUGCCUGAAGACUGGGCCCCGCAACUAGAGAAGCCUCCGCAGUGAGAAGCCUGCGCCCCGCAACUAGAGAAGCCUCUGCAGUGAGAAGCCUGCGCCCCGCAACAAGAGACAAGCCCACGCGGGAACAAAGACCCACGUGGCCAAAAAUAAGCUCUGAACGUUCCCUGUGUCCCCAGCCUCUACUGAGAUGUGGGGCCUGCAAGCUCCAUUCCUCACUCAGCUGGGUCCACUGUUCUUCCCCCCUGCAUAGGUGUGAAUUGCAGCCUGUCUUCUCAAAACACGGGCUGCAAAGGCCAUCUUCCAGGGCAGGCAAUGCUAUUAUCAGGACGGUUGAAUGUGAAAGGGUCCUACAAAUGUGGUCAUGCGGUGUUUUAAACUGUCUACGACUUCUGCACAAACCCAUCCUGGAGGUCCCUGAGUGCCAAAGCUACCUGCACUCGCGUCCGCUACCUGCAAAGCCCCUAGUGGAUCCUACCUCUGCUGCUGCUGCGACAGAGAUGCUGCCUUACCUGGGGCUUCCACCAACAACAAGUAUCCAGGAGUCGUGCUGUGAAGGAACACAGGGAGGUCUGGCCCUCUGUGUUUCUGCCCUGGAGGUCCAUAUGGGGUCCCCACUGGCCCAUGCACCAGCCGUUACCCCACACCGCUGCUCCCAGGCUGGUGGGACUGAGCCCUCCCCUUCAGCUGGCGUCCUCCCAACCCCACCAAACCAGGAACACCUGUGUCUUUAGCACAUUUAGGUGUAGGGGUUUCACCUGCAGUAAUGCCAGAAUUGUGCAAACUCUGUUCUUAGCCAGACCUUAACUCCCCACAUUUUCUUUGCAGCCUUCCGAGACAUUUCGGUGCCCCCACACACAUUUCUUUCUACCUACCUGCCUUCUUUCCUCCUUUCAGCAGAGGCAUCUGUAAGUAGUGAACUGAAGCCAUUCUCUGGAGCAUCCGUGGGGUCCUCCUGUUUGGGGAAGCUUGGGAUUCAUGAGAAUUGAUGACUCAGCAAAUGGAGUUCUGCGCCGGCUCAGAGAAAAGAGCAUCACACAGACAGGGGCUCAGUAUAUAGUGAUGUACAAGUGCACUUGACUUUGUAAAGCCCAGAUUAGUCUGUGAGGUUGGUCCAGAAGGCACUGGGGAGGUGGGCAGCCCUGGCCUGGAGUGACCAACAAGCCUGCCCAGCUUCUCUUCAUCUACAAGACUGGAGAAGUCAUUCCUCACCACGUGAAAGACACCAUUGCCUGACUCAUCUGCCUCACAGGCUUCUUUUGAAUGGAAAAUGAAAUAAAACAUGGGAAGGGCCAUACACCAUUUGUGCAGAGAUGCCCUGUGCACCAACAGAUAUACAGGAAACAUGUUUGGCCAGAAACAUGAAUAAGGAAUCACUUCAGAAUGUAAUUUUACAGUGGUUUAUUAGGGAGCUUGUCUCCAG
ensembl:lncRNA